UACGUAGGGUGCAAGCGUUAAUCGGAAUUCCUGGGCGUAAAGCGUGCGCAGGCGGUUUUGUAAGACCGAUGUGAAAUGCCCGGGCUUAACCUGGGAACUGCAUUUGUGACUGCAAGGCUAGAAUCUGGCAGAGGGGGGUAGAAUUCCACGUGUAGCAGUGAAAUGCGUAGAUAUGUGGAGGAAUACCGAUGGCGAAGGCAGCUCGCUGGGACGGUACUGACGCUGAGACGCGAAAGCGUGGGGAGCGAACAGG
rnacentral:rRNA from 1 species